CCUACGGGUGGCAGCAGUGAGGAAUAUUGGUCAAUGGACGAGAGUCUGAACCAGCCAAGUAGCGUGAAGGAUGACUGCCCUAUGGGUUGUAAACUUCUUUUAUAUGGGAAUAAAAUGUUCCACGUGUGGGAUUUUGUAUGUACCAUAUGAAUAAGGAUCGGCUAACUCAGUUCUAGCAGCGGCGGGAAUAAGGAGGAUCCGAGCGUUAUCAGGUUUUAUUGGGUUUAAAGGGAGCGUAGGUGGAUUGUUAAGGUAGUUGUGAAAGUUUGCGGCUCAACCGUAAAAUUGCAGUUGAAACUGGCAGACUUGAGUACAGUAGAGGUGAGCGGAAUUCGAGGUGUAGCGGUGAAAUGCUUAGAUAUAACGAAGAACACCGAUUGCGAAGGCAGUUCACUGGACUGCAACUGACACUGAGGCUCGAAAGUGUGGGGAUCAAACAGGAUUAGAUACCCGAGUAGUC
rnacentral:rRNA from 1 species